rnacentral:rRNA from 1 species
UCCCUUAGUAGCGGCGAGCGAAGCGGGAGAAGCUCAAGUUUGAAAUCCGGGCUCUGCUCGGAGUUGUAAGCUGGAGGGCCGUUUGCCAAAGCCACCCGGGCUCAAUUUGCUUGGAACAGCAAGUCAUUGAGGGUGAGAACCCCGUCCAUGGCUCGGUGUUUGGCUUUCGAGUGCGGCGGCCCAACGAGUCGGGUUGUUUGGGAAUGCAGCUCAAAAUGGGUGGUAAAUUUCAUCUAAAGCUAAAUACUGGCAAGAGACCGAUAGCGAACAAGUAGAGUGAUCGAAAGAUGAAAAGCACUUUGAAAAGAGAGUGAAACAGUGCGUGAAAUUGUUGAAAGGGAAGCGCUUGGCAUCAGCCCGUGACCUUUGACCAUCACUCCGGCUUCUGUCGGAUGCAAUAGUCAAGAGUUGGGCCAGCGUCGGCUCUCUCCGCCCUAGAAAGGCCUUGGGGACGUGGCUCCUUCUGGAGUGUUUAUAACCCUUGGCGGCAUGGGGUGAGGGGGGGCCGAGGUCCGCGGCAUAGCCCAGGACGCUGGCGUAAUGGUCCCAAGCGACCCGUCUUGAAACACGGACCAAGGAGUCUAACAUCUAUGCGAGUGUUUGGGUGUCAAGCCCGGCCGCGCAAUGAAAGUGAAAGGGGCGGGAGCCUAGAGGCGCACCGUCGACCGGUCCUGAGGUUUACCAAAGGAUCCGAGUGAGAGCAUAGCUG